rnacentral:rRNA from 1 species
GACGAACCGUGCGAACGUUGUUCGGAAUCACUGGGCUUAAAGGGCGCGUAGGCGGCCGGGUUGGUCGUGGGUGAAAUCCCCCAGCUUAACUGGGGAAGGGCCUACGAUACUGCCUGGCUCGAGGGAGGAAGGGGCGGUCGGAACUGUCGGUGGAGCGGUGAAAUGCGUUGAUAUCGACAGGAACGCCGGUGGCGAAAGCGGACCGCUGGCCCUCUUCUAACGCUGAGGCGCGAAAGCCAGGGGAGCAAACGGG